CCUACGGGGGACAGCAGUGGGGAAUAUUGCACAAUGGGGGAAACCCUGAUGCAGCGACGCCGCGUGAGUGAAGCAGUAAUUCGUUAUGUAAAGCUCUAUCAGCAGGGAAGAAAAUGACGGUACAUGAGUAAGAAGCCCCGGCGAACUACGUGCCAGCAGCCGCGGUAAUACGUCGGGGACAAGCGUUAUCCGGAUUUACUGGGGGAAAAGGGAGCGUAGACGGCAGUGCAAGUCUGGAGUGAAAGGCGGGGGCUCAACCCCCGGACUGCUCUGGAAACUGUACGGCUGGAGUGCAGGAGAGGUAAGUGGAAUUCCUAGUGUAGCGGUGAAAUGCGUAGAUAUUAGGAGGAACACCAGUGGCGAAGGCGGCUUACUGGACUGUAACUGACGUUGAGGCUCGAAAGCGUGGGGAGCAAACAGGAUUAGAUACCCGUGUAGUC
rnacentral:rRNA from 1 species